GACGAACGCUGGCGGCGUGGAUUAGGCAUGCAAGUCGAACGGUAGGAUACCUUCGGGUAUCUGAGAGUGGCGAACGGGUGAGUAACACGUAGGUGAUCUACCCUCAAGAUUGGGACAACCCAGGGAAACUUGGGCUAAUACCGGAUGAAAGCAGCAGUGAUGUUGUUUGAAAGGUGGCGUAAGCUGCCGUUUGGGGAUGAGCCUGCGCUCUAUUAGUUAGUUGGCGGGGUAAAGGCCCACCAAGGCGAUGAUAGAUAGGCGGCCUUAACGGGUGUCGCCCACACUGGGAUUGAGAUACGGCCCAGACUCCUACGGGAGGCAGCAGUCGAGAAUAGUCUACAAUGGCCGAAAGGCUGAUAGUGCGACGCCGCGUGAACGAUGAAUCCCUUCGGGUGUAAAGUUCUUUUAUAUGUGAGUAGUGCCCUUUAUAUGAAUAGUAUAAAGGGAGGAAUUAAGCAUAAGAAAUAAGCAACGGCUAAACUCCGUGCCAGCAGCCGCGGUAAUCUGUACG
rnacentral:rRNA from 1 species